rnacentral:lncRNA from 1 species
UGGAAGCAGGUGAGGCACACAGAGGGGGAGGCCCGCAGCUGCGUGGGAGGAGGGGUGGUCUGAGGGACGUGGGAUGCCGGGAAUGAGGCUGGUUUGCAGGUUGGCGCAUGGACAUUUUCCCAGAAAGGGACAGAGACGGCGAAGUUUGACGGUCUGGAAAGCAGAGACCAGCAGGGCUGACUGCUUGGGAGCACCAAAUAUCCGGACAGCGCCUCUCGGGAGGUCCGAGAAGAGAACCGCGAUCUGUUUCAGCACCGGGGCUCAGGACAGUUCCCAGCGGGCUCCGUUUCGUCUCCAGAACCCUGGACAGCUCCUCCAGGUAACGGGAGAGCCCUUUGACCCUGAUUUUGCAGGGGGAGGACGAGAGAGGGUGGUCUGAGGUGCCUGGCAUUUCUGGAGACCUGCACCUCAUGUAAUGGAUUUUUAAACAAAGUAUUUUCCAGAUAAGCACACACAGAAGUCUGC